CUUGACAGUCAUUCCCUGACUGGCUCAGAAACGCAUUGACUCACCAGUGCAUCACGUUCCUGGAGGCUGUGCUAAGUCCAUGUGUACAAAAUGAACUUGUUCAAGCAUCACUAGCGUCUUACGGUAGCAACAGUGGCACCACCAAACUCCUUCCCUGGGAACCACACUGUUUCUCAGCGUCAAGCGGCCACAGCUCUGAACUGUGUCUGUGAGCAUCUGUGCUUCAACUCCAUUUAUUUUGUGCAUCCAUUAGCAAGAUACGUCUUAAGAAGAGAUAACGGGAAGGCUUACUCUGUCUCCACUGCAUGAGGACACAGCAAGAAGGCGGCCAUCUGCAAACCAGGAGAGAGUUUUUACCAGAGACCUGAGUGCCUGGCACCUUGAUCUUAGACUUCCCAGCCUCCAAACUUUUUUUUGUCCCAAGGCAUGUCGGGAUCUUAGCUCCCCAAUCAGGGGUCAAACCUGCAUCCCCAGCAUUGGAAGGUGAAGUCUUAACCACUUGGCUCCAGUGAAGUCCCUCGGUCCUUUCUCUUUAACAAAUAUUCACUAAGCACCUGCCUUGUGCCAGGCAGUAAAGAAGAGAGACAAAGAACCUACCCUCAAGAAUAUUCCAGUGUGGGAGACAAAUAAUAAACAAAGAAUGGCACCGGGACCUCCUGCCCUACCUAGGAGAGCCAUCACCUGAUGGAAAGGAAGAAAAACACAGUGUCAAGGCUUUGGCCACUUCUCUGUGCUGCUACCAAGAAAAAGCUUUGUGAUGGGCCCUGAUUUCUUGUGCAGAGCCCGCAGCCCCCGUCUGAUCCAGGCUACAGAAACAUAGCCCCUGAUCUCAAGGAAGGACCACUUUUCAGAGCCCAGUCCCACCAUCCCCACGGCACACCCCCACUCCCCUCCUCCACCAUGGGGCCGGCGCCAGACUUUACCUUCGAUCACAUCCUUCCCGGUUCCAUCCCUCCUCGACCCUCCUUCCCUCGGUCUCUGACAGCUUUCUCCUGAAGGGCUGACCCUCCACAGAUCACGGGAACCCCAUCCCUGCCUCAAGCUCUGCCUCUAGGGAGCCUGUCCUAAGACAGAUAAUCUGGCUUGAGGAAAAAUGAUUUUAUUUCCUGAACAAGUUCCUGGCCUCCUGUAGUAGAUGAUCAGCAGGGACUCAGGGCUCCCAUGGUGGGGCUUCCAUAGGACUUUCCAGGCUGGCUGGCACUGUAUCCGGAUCUCACUGUAUCUGAGAACCAGUGUUUAUCUUUGCAUCUGUGCAUCUGAACGUCUCCAUGCCUGUGGAGGGCUGUGGCUGGCCCCCUAGCUACCUGCUGCUGGUGAAGACAGAUCAUCCUUCUGUCUUGCUCACUUGGAGGCCCUGGCGUUGAAUGCCAAAGGCCGGGCUGCAGGGUUUGGCAGAAACCCCAUCAGCGUAGCAGCCUAAAAUGAGCAACACCUGGGCUUCCCUGGUGGCGCAGUGGUUAAGAAUCCGCCUGCCAAUGCAGGGCACAUGGGUUCGAGUCCUGGUCCGGGAAGAUCCCACGUGCUGCGG